rnacentral:lncRNA from 1 species
AAAUAUUGAUGUAUUAAGAUAUAAGUGGAGUAAUAAAUUAGGUUGUAGAAAGACUAUAAUUUAGUUAAAGGUAGGAGGGUGAAGGGAAUAGGAAAGUUUCAUGUUUGAAAAAUGUAUGUUUUAAGAAGUUGAUGUUCAUGAAGUAUAUUAAGGGUGCUAGCUUGAUCUGGAAAUCCCCAGGUCAGAGCAGCAAGUAGGUUGAAGCGUACGUUCUGCCUAGGUGGGAAAACGUGGAGGUUAGUGGGGGCUGAAAAAGCACCUUUUGAGAAGAUGGAUGCAUUCAUUAGGUGUUAACCACCGAAGGCAUCAGUGGAGCAGGUGGUCAUCCUGAUGAUUUAUCAGAAGAGGCAUUAAGGGUAUAAAGGAAGCAGGUUUCAUGGGAAGGGAAUGACUCUCUUUGAGUUUGCUAGAAGAACCUGUCGUCUGCUGGAGAAAGACUUUUACUGAAGCUUUUUAACUUCAGAUUCAUUUAGAUUUUUAAUAUACUUGAUUUUUAUUCUGAAAGUGUUCUAGUACAUUCUAGGAGAAACCCUAAAGGUUACCUCAUUGAUAGAAGUGUUCUAGUACAUUCUAGGAGGAACCCUAAAGGUUACCUCACUGAUAGGAGUGUUCUAGUACAUUCUAGGAGGAACCCUUAAGGUUACCUCAUUGAUAGAAGUGUUCUAGUACAUUCUAGGAGGAACCCUAAAGGUUACCUCAUUGAUAGGAGUGUUCUAGUACAUUCUAGGAGGAACCCUAAAGGUUACCUCACUGAUAGGAGUGUUCUAGUAGCUGUUAGUUUUUUAGACACCAACUGAGGGACUGAGCAUCCUGAAGGGGGAGACAAAAAGCUGUUUAUAAAUUGUAGAAGGUAAGAACUUGUUUUUCUUGUUAUUGAACACUGUGCUUCUCAUAAAAUUGUUAUAAACCAAACAUAUUUUAUUGACACACACUAAUAAGGGUUUAGAUAAGGGUUUAGUUAAGGGUUUAGUUAAGGACGCUGAAGGCAUCUCUCAAUUUAAUCCAAGUUAUAUUUUUGCUUAUCAUCGAUUGGGGAUAUUGAUUUAUGAUUGAUUGAUUGAUCUGUGAUUUUUAAUGCCCGUUUCUGGAAUUUUGAAUAAACUUGUUUUAUUGUUCUGAAACUCGGUGUCAUCAAAGAGUCAUAGGAGUGCAUGUCGUUUUACUCCUGGUUUCUGAAACACACUGGAUUAAUUGAGGAUUUAUAGCAUCUGGUUAAUUAGUCCAUCGGGAACCUGAAUUGCUGGUGUGAAGGAACCUGAGACCCAACUAAAGGUACUGAGUGCAUUGGUAGGAGUCAUAUGAGGGGUGAUUCUGGACUAAACCAACCCAGGAGAG